rnacentral:lncRNA from 1 species
UCGAGCUAUAGAAGAGCUAUAGAAGACAAAUUUGAACAAUUGGAAGCGGCUUUUGAAGAAAAAUUGCAAGCUAGGAUUGAGGCAGCCACUCAAGCAAUGAACCGAAGUCAAUGACAAGGAUCUGCUAGAGAUAUUCGGGUCAGAAUAAUAAUUAUAGAUUGAAUCACAAUUAUAGGAUGAAAUUUUAUUUAAUUUUACGGGGCUAGUAUUCGCAAGUUUAUGUUGAUAUUCUUCAGGUUUUAGUUUGGUUUUGUGAAUCGGAUUGUAGUUGAUCUCAUUAGUAUUCACUAUGUUGUUUCUUUUGUGAACAUGUUUAUGAUGAUAUUAUUGCG